GAUGAACGCUGGCGGCGUGCCUAAUACAUGCAAGUCGAGCGAACAGACGAGGAGCUUGCUCCUCUGACGUUAGCGGCGGACGGGUGAGUAACACGUGGAUAACCUACCUAUAAGACUGGGAUAACUUCGGGAAACCGGAGCUAAUACCGGAUAAUAUAUUGAACCGCAUGGUUCAAUAGUGAAAGACGGUUUUGCUGUCACUUAUAGAUGGAUCCGCGCCGCAUUAGCUAGUUGGUAAGGUAACGGCUUACCAAGGCAACGAUGCGUAGCCGACCCGAGAGGGUGAUCGGCCACACUGGAACUGAGACACGGUCCAGACUCCUACGGGAGGCAGCAGUAGGGAAUCUUCCGCAAUGGGCGAAUGCCUGACGGAGCAACGCCGCGUGAGUGAUGAAGGUCUUCGGAUCGUAAAACUCUGUUAUUAGGGAAGAACAAAUGUGUAAGUAACUAUGCACGUCUUGACGGUACCUAAUCAGAAAGCCACGGCUAACUACGUG
rnacentral:rRNA from 1 species